AGUGAACGCUGGCGGUAGGCCUAACACAUGCAAGUCGAACGGCAGCACAGUAAGAGCUUGCUCUUACGGGUGGCGAGUGGCGGACGGGUGAGGAAUACAUCGGAAUCUACUUUUUCGUGGGGGAUAACGUAGGGAAACUUACGCUAAUACCGCAUACGACCUACGGGUGAAAGCAGGGGAUCUUCGGACCUUGCGCGAUUGAAUGAGCCGAUGUCGGAUUAGCUAGUUAGCGGGGUAAAGGCCCACCAAGGCGACGAUCCGUAGCUGGUCUGAGAGGAUGAUCAGCCACACUGGAACUGAGACACGGUCCAGACUCCUACGGGAGGCAGCAGUGGGGAAUAUUGGACAAAGGGCGCAAGCCUGAUCCAGCCAUACCGCGUGGGUGAAGAAGGCCUUCGGGUUGUAAAGCCCUUUUGUUGGGAAAGAAAAGCAGCAGGUUAAUACCCCGCUGUUCUGACGGUACCCAAAGAAUAAGCACCGGCUAACUUCGUG
rnacentral:rRNA from 1 species